AGUUCCUCUAUUUGCUCUGCAAACUUUGUCCUCCGGUGCUACAGUGAGUCAGGCAGUUUGCUUCCUAGGCCAAGGAGACCCUGCGUCCUUCAGCCAUUUGUGUUAUUGUAACUCAACCUUGAACUUCAUCAAGAGAACUUGUUUUUAACACAGAGAAGCCUGUUCUAGAAAAACAACGUACCAAAAAGACUCAUUAACUCUGAAGACAUCUCCAAAUAAAAUAUAAAACAAGGUUCCUGGAAUUCCAUGCAGAUCUCCAACACUGGUGUCAGGAUCUCAAAGAGGACCAUUGUCUGCUGUUUUUCCAGAUUCAUCAGCAGGGACCUAGAUUGGAGUUGCACUGGCACCAGCUUUCGAGUAUGGAUGCCUGUGUUCUAAGCAGCUGCUUAACAUGCUGCACCACCACCCCCCAGGCUCUGUUCUACGUGCUGAAUCAAUAGUGAAUGA